rnacentral:lncRNA from 1 species
UUAGAAUUACCAACUCAACAAGUUGAUUGUGAGUGACCAACUGAAAGAAAGGUGACAUAGGAAUGCAAUUUUCUUGGGUGGGUGAAUGGUUCCCACCCAGAUAUUGUCCCCACCUACCUGCUGAUGGUGGGCCAUGCUUGAUGUAAUACAUGGCAGUUAGAUAGAGGCAUCACUGGAUCUCUCUGAUCUAGCUCUUCCAUAAAUAGAGAACUUGACUAUGGAGAAUUCAUAUUCUGAAGGGUCUUUCUUACCCUAAUGAAAAGGAAAAUCAAAGAGCAAAACUACUACGAAGUUGACAAAAAAAAAAAAAAA